UACGUAGGGCGCAAGCGUUGUCCGGAAUUAUUGGGCGUAAAGAGCUCGUAGGCGGUUUGUCACGUCGGCUGUGAAAACCCGAGGCUCAACCUCGGGCCUGCAGUCGAUACGGGCAGACUAGAGUGCGGGUAGGGAGACUGGAAUUCGUGGUGUAGACGGUGAAAUGCGCAGAUAUCAGGAGGAACACCGGUGGCGAAGGCGGCAUCCUGGACCGGAGACAUGACAC
rnacentral:rRNA from 1 species